rnacentral:rRNA from 1 species
UACGUAGGAUCCGAGCGUUGUCCGGAUUUACUGGGUGUAAAGGGUGCGCAGGCGGACUGGUAAGUCAGUGGUGAAAUCUCGUCGCUUAACGACGAAACUGCCUUUGAUACUAUCAGUCUUGAAUCCGGUAGAGAUCUGUGGAAUUCCGAGUGUAGCAGUGAAAUGCGUAGAUAUUCGGAAGAACACCAGUGGCGAAGGCAGCAGAUUGGGCCGGUAUUGACGCUCAGGCACGAAAGCAUGGGGAUCAAACAGG